AAUUAAUAGUGAAGCUACCACCACUAGAACGCUUCUUAGUGAAGUCUAAGCCAUUUGAACAAGUAGUAACCAAAUCAUCCAAACAAGCGUCUCCAAACACUGGCAAAGAACCAGAAGCAGCCAUGGCUUGACGAAACCGAGAACUAUCAGAAAACAAUCUCCUUUGACCCGAAUUGGAGAAGAAGCUCUUACUUUUCCCAGCAACGAUUCUUUGAAACCCAAAUUGAGAAACUGGGUUUAAUCUCG